rnacentral:lncRNA from 1 species
AUGUUAAAACCCAUGCUUGGAAAUUGCGCAUUUUUUAUCGCAUUUGCGUGUGUUGUAGUUAUAAAAAAAGCAUCAGAAUGUAUCAUAGAUGGGACGGUAGACGAAGGUUGCUUUAAAUGGGAAAUAUCUAGUUUUGGAGCCAUGGAUCCGCUGCUUUGACGCGAAAAAGUUGGGCUUCACUUAAGUUGAAUUUCAACCUUUCCAAAGGUUCCCAUUUUGAAAACUACGUAUCGCGUGUGAAAAUGUGAUGUGUGUCCUACUUAUCGUAACAUUCCUAACGGCUAGCUCCAAUUUCUCGCAUGCGCUCAUUCAUCGUUCGGAGUGGAUAUCGUUUGAACGAAAUGAUGUGUCGAACGAACAUCGAGACGAGGGCAGGCGAACGCUCGCCAAAAUUAAAUCGGAGGAUGAGACGGUCUCGGAGCAGCGCCUCGAAAUCCGUGGCUUCAAAAAAAUGUGGAGUUCAGGGAGGAAAAAGUUCUUGGACCACCCUUACGUGCAAGUUGCCGGUCAAGCAGCGAAUUCAGGGGCGAAAAAGGUCAUGAGGAACCCUUACGUACGAACGGUUGGUAAAGCAGCGAAUACAGGGAGGAAAAAGGUCAUGGAUAGCAGCACCUACGUUAGUCUAAAGUCGGUCUUCGCGCCAGUUGGAAAAGCCGUCAAAAACCUCGAAAAGAUGACCGAAGACAAGCUCAAGAGAGAAUUCGUCAGGAUGAUGAUCAACACGCCCCCCGACAAAAUCAAUAAGGUGCUGGCCAGCAAAAAAUUCCAGCCAAUCAUCAGACAGAUUGUGCCGAAGCAGAUUUACCCGACCCCUACCAACUUCCACGAUGACGUCAACGGGCUCUUCCUCCGAGCCCUGUUGUCCCAGGAGGACGGGCCGAAAUUCCUCGAUUUGAUCAAGACAGUGCGGACGUGCAUGCGUGUCCGGAGAUCGGAGAAUCACCGGAUCGACUACUAUAUAAAUAUGUGGAGAUUGAUGAUGGAAGGUGGCAAGCGUUACCUCCGAGAGGACCACCACGAGAUGCGCCGCAAGCUCCUCCAACUCAUCUCGAGCCUAAGAGCGUCCAAACAGAAAUACGGAGAGUACCCCGGGUCCCAGCCCCAGAGCCCCAAUCCUGGGGACUCCGGCCGUUCUGACGAAUGUAUUCCCUCCGACGGUUCCGAAAGUGAUGAUAGCGGUUCUGAGCAUCCCGGACGCUCCGAGAGUGACGGCCACGCUGAGAAAUAUGACCGUCAAUUAUCUGGUUCACCUUCUCUCAAGAGGUCGUCGUCAUGGAAGAGAGUGCUGAGUUAUCCACGGAAGACAUGGAAAGGACUCAAGUUAUACUACAAGGCCCCGAGACCGAGCGACGUUCACGACGGGCACAAAGGGCUCAUUCUGAAGGCCCUCAUGGCUCACGAGGAAGGCCCGCAGUUCCUGGACGCGCUGAGAGCCAUCGGGAAAAAUGUCGAAGUUACGUGGAAAGAGGGGGAGAAGAAAAGACCUCACUUCACUAUCCACCUUAUGGGCAUAUUAAAUUCGCCAGGGAUCGACCAUUUCAUGUACGAUGUCCCUGGUAUCGCAGGGGAGAUCCUGCGCGGCAUGAACCGCAAGCAAAAUGCCAGGUCACGUCAACAGUCGAUGCCAGAGGUGGAGGAGGAAGAGCAGGAGCAGGAGCAGGAGCAGGAGGAGGAGGAGGAGGAAGAGGAGGAAGAGCGUGCUGCUCAUAGGCGUACCUAG